rnacentral:lncRNA from 1 species
CGGGAGUCCUGUUAGGAAUCUCGCCUCGGGCUGUACCAUUGAAAGUUCAAGCCACUGUAGGAGAUCAGGACCAUUAUUACGCUCGUUUUUUCAGAUGAGAAACUGAGAUGCAGACUUCAAAGCCAGAGGUCACACAACUGGCUAGCGCGCUGGAAACGCCCAGGGCCUGGCUGCAGCUCUCCCAGAGGCCUGCGGAGACGCCAAGGGCAGUUUAACACAGAUCCACCUCUCUCUGAGGAAAGAGAGAGGAGAAAGGCACAGGGAGGGACGGUCAGCCCUCCUGCAAAGAGAACUCACAGCCGUUCCCAACUGGGAGGCUUGCCGAGGGAGAGACACCCUGGGGCAUCAGAUGUGACUCUGCAGAAUCCACCUGGGGUCUCGAGACUGGAGUGUUGGUUCCUGUUCCAAGGGCACUGCUCUGCCGGGCCACUCUCAGCAAGCCAUUUCCUCUCUCAGGACCUCAGAGUCUUCCACCGUGAGACGAUUGGGUGGAUCAUCACGAGGGGUGCUGUGUGGUGUUAGGAGCUAAU